GAUGAACGCUGGCGGCGUGCUUAACACAUGCAAGUCGAACGGAAAGGCUCCUGCUUGCAGGGGUACUCGAGUGGCGAACGGGUGAGUAACACGUGGGUGAUCUGCCCAGCACUUCGGGAUAAGCCUGGGAAACUGGGUCUAAUACCGGAUAGGACGAUGGUUUGGAUGCCAUUGUGGAAAGUUUUUUCGGUGUGGGAUGAGCUCGCGGCCUAUCAGCUUGUUGGUAGGGUAAUGGCCUACCAAGGCGUCGACGGGUAGCCGGCCUGAGAGGGUGUACGGCCACAUUGGGACUGAGAUACGGCCCAGACUCCUACGGGAGGCAGCAGUGGGGAAUAUUGCACAAUGGGCGCAAGCCUGAUGCAGCGACGCCGCGUGGGGGAUGACGGCCUUCGGGUUGUAAACUCCUUUCGCUAGGGACGAAGCGCAAGUGACGGUACCUGGAGAAGAAGCACCGGCUAACUACGUG
rnacentral:rRNA from 1 species